UCUCCGUUGGUGAACCAGCGGAGGGAUCAUUACCGAGUUUUCUACUCCCAAACCCCUGUGAACUUAUACCUUUACUGUUGCUUCGGCGGGUUAACGCCCCGGAAGGCCCAAAAAGCCGCCGGAACCAGGCGCCCGCCGGGGGACCCAAACUCUUGUAUUUCUUACUUUGCAUGUCUGAGUGGAAUCAUAAACAAAUGAAUCAAAACUUUAAACAACGGAUCUCUUGGUUCUG
rnacentral:misc_RNA from 1 species